rnacentral:rRNA from 1 species
CAAGUCGAACGAGAAAGUCUCCUUCGGGAGAUGAGUAAAGUGGCGCACGGGUGAGUAACACGUAGGUAAUCUACCUUCGGGUGGGGAAUAACCCAGGGAAACUUGGGCUAACACCGCAUAAUGCAGCGGCACCACAUGGUGACAGUUGUUAAAGCGGGGGAUUUUCGGACCUCGCGCCUGAAGAGGAGCCUGCGGCGGAUUAGCUUGUUGGUAAGGUAACGGCUUACCAAGGCGACGAUCCGUAGCCGGCCUGAGAGGGCGGUCGGCCACACUGACACUGACAUACGGGUCAGACUCCUACGGGAGGCAGCAGUCGGGAAUUUUGGGCAAUGGGCGAAAGCCUGACCCAGCAACGCCGCGUGAAGGAUGAAAUCCCUCGGGAUGUAAACUUCGCAAGAAUGGGAAGAAUUAGUAGGGGACAAUACCCCCUAUGAUGACGGUACCAUUUGUAAGCUCCGGCUAACUCCGUGCCAGCAGCCGCGGUAAUACGGGGGGAGCAAGCGUUGUUCGGAUUUACUGGGCGUAAAGGGCGCGUAGGCGGCCAGCACAAGUCGGUUGUGAAAUCUCCGGGCUUAACUCGGAAAGGUCAACCGAUACUGUGCGGCUAGAGUGCGGAAGGGGCAACUGGAAUUCUCGGUGUAGCGGUGAAAUGCGUAGAUAUCGAGAGGAACACCUGCGGCGAAGGCGGGUUGCUGGGCCGACACUGACGCUGAUGCGCGAAAGCCAGGGGAGCGAACGGGAUUAGAUACCCCGGUAGUCCUGGCCUUAAACGAUGGAUGCUUGGUGUCUGGGGUUUUAUAGUCCCCGGGUGCCGUAGCUAACGCGUUAAGCAUCCCGCCUGGGGAGUACGGUCGCAAGACUGAAACUCAAAGGAAUUGACGGGGACCC